rnacentral:lncRNA from 1 species
AAAAAGGACAGAGAGAUCAGUUCUGUGUAGGACUCAAAAGUUAAUUGAAACCUAAAGAUCCAGGCCAGUCUGCAACCCAGAGGUGACAACGAUUUAAACUGAACAAAUCAUUGAUUUAAUGAUUGUUUUUUUUUUUUUUUAUAUAUAUAUAUAUAUAUAUUUUUUUUUUUUACUUUUAUUAAUGGUCUGUGUUGAAGAUGCUUAGUGUGUCCUUGAGGAAAUCCCAUUGCUCUAAACAUUUACUGCCCAGAGUGUCUUACAUGUAAAAUUCAGCAAAAGAUGAGAUUCAAAAGAAAGAGAAGUGAGUAAUUUUUUGACAAACAAAUGUGACAAAAGGUCGCAGUUUCCACUGUGGCAUCCUCCCUGGCUGCCAAGCUGAAGGUGAGAAACAAUCACCGUGAAAGGAUGACAUGCCAACACAACAGCACUAUUGUAGAAAUAACAAAAGCUGCUGCUGAGCAACAAGGAUAAGAGGACACGGUAACAGGGGAGCGCUCAAUGUUCCUGAGUCGAUUAUGCUGCUGUUACCACACAGCAACACAUCCCUACAACAAUCCUGUCCUCUAAUGUAACACCAUCCAAAUUCUCACGUCUGCUCUUUCAUUAUCACAUUUUCUGCUCCGGUCUACCUCCAUUGUUGUUUUCACUCGGUGAUAACCUCUGACUAUGGAUAUGGAUUGUGCAAGAAUGCAAGCAGGGUAAUCUGUGCAUUUUUCCUGGAAACUGAGGGUACAAAUAAAAAUGAUAACUGGAAAAAUCUAUGAAAUCUGUAUCUCGUAACAGUGCUUUAUAACUUUAUAAUUGACCCACCCUUUAUUUGACUACAUGAAAACAAUGUACAGGCUGGUUAUUUAGUCUACUUUUUUGAUAAAUGUCAUCUUAUCACCAUACAAAUUUAAAGGUACUGUGAUACAUUUUCCUGCUGGGCUGGUUUGGGUGGUCCUCAUAAAUGAUGUUUUUACCGUUUUUCUUGGAUGAUAAGUGCAUUUCUAAUGAGCUCCAUCACUUGCUGUCAUACAGAUCUGACUCUUCCCAAGGCCUACACUGCAUUCUGAAUAAUUAUGCAAAUUGUAUUCAAGUGUCAUAAAAGUUAGAUUUUUUGUUUUUCAAUUAAACUCAUGGAUGUUAUUGUGUCUCAGGGCUCUUUGGAUCACUGAAAUCAAUCUCAGACACCUGUGAUAAUUAGUUUGCCAGGUGAGCCCAGUUAAGGAGAAAACUACUAAAGAAGGAUAUUCCACAUUAUUAAGCAGACCAACAUUUUCAAGCAAUAUGGAAAAGAAAAAGGACCUUUCUGCUGCUGAAAAGAAGGAAAUAGUUGAAUGCCUUGGACACGGUAUUAAAACUUUAGAUAUUUCAGGAAAACUUAAGCAUGAUCAUCAUACUAUGAUGACAAAACUCACAAGUUCAAUGCAUGCAAGAAUUUUGAAGCUGCUAUCAAAUAAGGGGUCCUAUGUUACGAUUUUGAUUUGUGACCUAUUAAGAUGUUCUUAAUUGAAAUAGCUUUUGAUUUCAGUAAAUAUGACCUCCUUAUAAUAACAAAUGGCCAUUUUCAGUUACAACCCCUGAAAUGUUUUUAAACUCCGUUGUGCAUAAUAAUUUGGAACAGUAAAUUUUAAGUUUUUUAUUAAAAAAAAAUACUGUUAUCAUUGGGGGGUUUGUUCAUCAAUAUUUAAAUUAUACUCCAACAGAUAAUGACUGUCAUUGGUGUUGACUAUCAAGAAAAUCGGAGAAAAACAUCAUUUGCAAAAUAAUUUGGAACGCAGUGUACAUCUGCUGUACAAGCAUACAGAUUGAAUUUUUGGUUUGACUUUUUUUUUUUUUUUUUUUUUGAUGAAGAUAACUUUACAGGAUGCAGAGUGGCAAUGUGGCGCAUUGAUUUGUUGCUAUUUGAAAUUGUUGCAUCAUAAUAUCAAUAAAACUUGAUGAACUUUGACUUGGUUUGUUACUGAGAGUUAGUUUCCAAAAGGUGACUAGUGUACUGGUUUAGGGACACCACAGUCCAGAUGUCAGAACUUCUGCUUCACUGUACCAACAAAUAUCUGAAAAACCUCAGUAAACACCUGCUUUAAAUGCUCUGUCCUCAAGGAGAGAUGAAGCAUUCACACUGCAGCAUAGCAAUUUAGCAGUAACCAAUUAAGUAUAAACAAUUUAGCAGAGCUUGAUAGAAAUGUAGUUUAUAAUAUUCAUCAGACUGUUGAAAUCAGUAUUUAAUCAUGAAUUGAAGUUACUUAUUUUACUAUAAAAGGUCUGAACAGGCAUCAGUGUAAGAACGAAACUACUUCAAAACCAGUGAAAAGCUUUUCAAAAAACUUAAAUGAGCUCAACAGCCAGUUAGCGGUUAUACACUCACUUAUUACGCUUUUUUUUUCCUGUAACCACCAAGAGUUCUGUUUGCAGAUUCAAAUCGAGAAAAUUCAGAGUAACUUCUGUGGAAAAAGACAGAUGUAUGCUACAGCUGAAAAAAAAAAGAGGUCACCUUGUGAUGUGUGCUCGUGGUCAUCCUUUGGUCAGUAUUCUAACUGCCAUCUCAGUCAGUCUGUUGUGUGUGUGUGUGUGUGUGUGUGUGUGUGUGUGUGUGUGUGUGUGUGUGUGUGUGUGUGUGUGUGUGUGUAAGCAUGAUGUGUCAGGGUUUGAACCACUGAGUGGUCCAGUUCAGAGGGCUUGUCUGUGCUCUCUCUGUGGGCUCCUCUCUGACAUGACAGUGGAGUGACAGCGCCAAAGCGUGGACACAUCACUGAGGAGUGAGGCUGGACAGAUAAACGGGGACAAAAGUGUCCACUUAAACUGGAUCCGCAUGUCAGUGUCCACCAGUAUUAUGACCCCUGUUUAAAAGUUUGACUUAAUGCAGUCUUUUUGAAAACUGAGGAGAUUUUAUUCACGAUACUGAUCAAAUGUAAAAUAAUAAUAAUUGUUAUUACUUUUAUAUUGUAUAUAUGUGGAAAUAUAUAUAUUGAAAAAGUCCUACACCAGAAUUCUUGGCAUCAAAACCCAGACCUCCACAACAGUCAGCUAAAGCAACCUCAGGGCUUCAGAGAGAGAUCAAGAUUUUCAAAGUGGAGGGAUCAGUGGGUCCAGCACAAACCACAUCUAACAUCUACAAACACUGGAUCUAAAGGCAGCACUGUGUCAGAACUGCUUACAGGUAAGCUCUUUCCAUAUCUCUCUGAUAUAAACUCCACUGACCCACCACCUUUAAGUGUGACUGAGGCAUUACCUGGAACCUGAAUUAAUAAUAUAUUAUAACUGCGUCACUGGUACCUUGAGAGCACACAAACAAUACAGAGAGAAAAAGAAUGUGAUAAUGAUCGAGAUGGGACGAUAUGACAAAAUAUAUCGUGAUAUUUUUUAUUUUUUUUUGCUACAUCGCCCAGUCCUGGGUUUAGUCAUCUGGAUCCUGAGAGACCAGUUCUACCUCAGAGCUUCAGUCCUCUGCGUAUGUGGUCUGUAUGACUAUUUUAAAAUUUGGGGCUGAUUUGCUUUUUCAGAGUCCAUGUCAUUAGUGAUGUAUUUGUUGCACAUCUUCAUCUUUUCUUUGUCCUGAAAAAUUGACCAUCAAGGGUAAUUCAUCAUCAUGCAAUGUUGAUGUCAAAGCCAAAGUUCCAAACAAAUCAACAUUUUUUUUUUCCAGCAGAAGAGUUAAAGGGUGAUAUUGACCCAGCUCUGUAACAAAACUUUAAACUAAGAUGUGAAUGAUUGUGAGUUCUUGAUUGCAGACAUUUGCAAUGUCAAUAGUUGGCCUCACUUCCACAGAGAAGCAUACAGACUUCUGCAGACAUUCAAGUAUAAAUGAGCACCGUAGUAAAAGUGAGAAGUUUCUUAAAAGUUGGAUUAGAAAGUACUUCAUGAUUUCCUGCCUGUGUAAAUCAAAGCCCAAACAAUCAUACUGUCCUUUUUGAAAAGCUUCAAUGAUAUAUUUUCCAUUUCAGGUUUGAUUUCGCGUCACCUCUUCAUGAAUGUAGUCCAGUGUUGUGACUUUAUGAACUGAUCUCAGAAAGCAACAAGGGUAAGCUAUUCUGUUGGUUAAGUUUGUGUCAGUAGAGUUCAGGCUGGAUUGCCGUCUUCUCUUUCUACUUAAGCUUACAUCUGAGCUGUGAGCGACAUGAUGGAAUAUAUAUCUGUUAAUGUCAGUGCAAAGCCUGCAAUAUGAAAUGGAGAGAAUGCCAAUGCUGUCUGCAUAGAGAUGAAGACACACUGUAAGGCCCUGACAUAGAGAUUGCAUAACAGCUUAUCCAUAAAACAUGAAGCUAUGCAUAUGCAAUGCACACCCAGGCAGGCAGCUAGGCAUAUGGUGUAACCUCCUAUUUCCUUUUUUGCCCUGCCUAAGAACCACAAGUCCAUCAUGGAGCUGACUCUUUGUACUGUAUGUGCAUGCUUGCCCAUGUGUGCACAUCUUCAUGUCAGACCAUGUGUCCUUCUUGGGGAGCUCUGUAAUUAGGACAUUUUUUUCCUCCACUCACUUUCUUCGCUCACAUUUUCUCCCCACCUCAUUGUCGGUCAGGAGCAGAGUGAGAGCCCUCAGGGUCAUGUUCAUCAGUCAAGGUUUGCAGGGGACUCAGAGGAGAGAGGAUUAGGAUUUGGUAGGCUGCAGUCCGAAGGCGAUAUCAGUGGGGGAGUGAAGAUGUAACCAGGCUCAAGUUUGCUUUAAGCGCAGCACAUAUGCACUGAUUAAAACAGGGGAUGGAAAGUAGAACAUUAAAGGCAGCAAGACUUCCCUUCAAGUGUUUUUGUGAGUCACUUCGGUGUCCUAUUCGGAAAACCAGAUAAUGAUGGCACACACACAGAGGCCAUAAGAGGACUUUCAAACUUCAGGCCAUCAGAGCUACAGUUUGGGCUGAGAGGAUGUUGGAAAGAGCUUGACAAUCAUUAAAAGUGGGGAAACUUCAAAAGGAAACUUUGAAAAAAAAAGGGGGGAGAUAGUUUCGAGGAUAAUUAUGAAACUUAGUGCUGAAUUUUGUCCCAUUUUUCCAAGCACAGCGCCAAGAUCCAGAAUCUUCCCUCUCUGCCUCACUGUCCUCGAGUUCACCUCUUCGGCUUGUUUUUCCCAAGCUGUCCUCCUCGUUACCUAGCUAAUCCCAGCCACUGUCAAGAUUUAAAUGCUGCUUUCAGCGUGUGCCAUAUUUUCAGCAUUCAGCAUUCAGCAUCAUUUCCCUGAGCCCGACAGACAAGGAGAGAGAGACAGCAAGGGAGAGCGAGAGGAACUGGAUCAGAGAUAAAGAGACACACUCCAUGGAUUACACACACACACACACACACACACACACACACACACACACAUACACAUAAAUAUGCAUAUACACAUGCAGGAACACAUUGUACGAGCCUCUGUUUAAUUAGCCUGGCGGUUUAUCAGGGUGAUCAGGAGUUCAACACAGUAAAGUUUCCGGUAGAUAAAAACAGUGUUUGGGGAAGCCGGGAAUGGGAUUAUGUCUUUUAAUUAAAGGCAAGUGGAGAGCAAUUAUGAGCAGUGAGAGGAUGUGGCACAGUUCACUCUCAUGUCAUCAUGUCGGUAUUCAAGGUGCACUCGUGCAGGUGAUGCUGAUUGCUUUGCACUUAGGCUGUGUCCGAAAUGGCAUACUGCCUACUAUCUACUUACCUACUCAAGCAGUACCUACUGCAUACUGACUACUCAAAGAUGAUUUGAGUAUGCCAAGGCUUCCCGAGCAUUUACAGAGGAGGAGGAGGAGGAGGAGGAGGAGGAGAAAGAACUGAAGGAGAUGAGAAAAGGAUGACAAGAGGGCGCCUUGGUUUAAUUGCUCACCUGAUACUUUCCUUUCCUCCUUAUCAUCCUCUCCUCAUCUAUUAUAGUGGAUGAGAAAAUUGCCUCUGACAGAUGCAUCCGACACAGAAUGCUUUCUUUUAUUUGCUGGGGAAGAAUUGAAGGUUUUAUGAUGACAGUUUCACUGCAAUAGUAACUGACGGUGUCUCCCUCCAACAUCAGGACACUCAGCAGCUCUGUGUACUGAGUGGGGAUCGAGGAGAAUGCGCUGAUUGAGUUGGCUGGUUAUUAUAUUUUCUACUGAUUUCAGCAUCUUUGACUUGAGCUUCAAAAACAGCCCUCACACAUCGAUGUAUAGGGUUUCUCAUGACUCUGUAGGGCCAUGCAUCUUCCUUUGUUGAAGCACACAAAUGAACUGCUAACAUUACUCCUAUCUGCGCCACUCUUUUGUGCUUGACAAUGGCUGUGUUUGUGGCAGAGCUAGUAUUUGAAGGAGGUUUGGACAGGAGGUCCACAGUGAGGAUAAACUUCAGAAAGCUCAUUAAGAGAAUUGGUAGGCAAAAUAAAUCCUGGCUUCAUCAUUUAUUUACCAUGACAGAUAUCUGUCCCAGGUUUAUUUUCUGCUAAAUUAUAGCAUUGUUGAUGGACAAUAAAAAGGUAAGAGGUCAAAGCACAACCAGGGUCAGUCUAUUAUGACCAAUUCAAACUAAACCCCUGUCAAAGCAUCGUACAUUUAUCUCUUUUAAAGCUGCUGAGGGGAACUUCUGGUCUGGUGCCCCCUGUGGACAAAGUAAUAGGCCUACCUCUUUAUUUCUGGCCCUGUAUGUGUGAAAGUAAUAUUUUCAGACAAACACCUCCUUCUGUUGUCUUUGAAAAGUCUUUGCCACUAAAAAAGAAAAAAUAGAGCUGGGUCUGAACCUACCUCCUUACAGCAUCGAUAAUGACACUUUACUGAUGGUCUCAUGUGCUUUUAAAGGUCAGAAAGACAAAUCAGAAUCAGUCUCAGUCUGUUUUCUUGACAAAUAAAAGCUCCUCACAACACUUUAAACUGUGACCUGUGUGCACUAAGAGAUUUGGGAGAAUAGGGGACAGGGUGUGCAUCCUAACCAUAGACUGUAUGUACUAUGGACAACUUGGCUCCGCCUUCCCUCAUUAUACAAAUUUGAAGCCGAGUUGCUCUCGGUAUUUCUGGGAUUUUUUUCUGAAACCACUACUUGUGCAGUAGCGUUGUACGUAUUCGUCAGGAGAGUUGCCAAGGGUUGCUGUGAUGGCGCUCAGCUCAAACAGCAUAUUCUCCCGGUGAGCUACGCAAUCGUCGUACGCCCAUAGGCUGUAUUAAGUGUCAAUCAUAGAAAACACGAACCCCUUAAUAACUUUUAAAAAUGGGGCUGUACAGAAAAAAAGAGGACUUGAGCACAAACCAGUCUUACAGUAACUACAUGUCAACAUCGCAAGCAAGAGGGAGAAAAUUUUAUAUUCUGUGUAAUUAAUUUCUAAAGUUUGUCCGCAGCUCCAUAAGAAUUGCUGAAGGAGGCAGGAUGUAUGUCCUAUACUGCAGCCUGUCACUAGAGGGUGCUGUUCUCGCGGUGGCCUCACCCAGCAAGGAGGCAGAUGGCGUCCAUUCUAUAUACAGUCUAUGGUCUUAACUUUAAUUUUGAUUUAAAAAAAACAAAACAUAAAUCAUGUAAAGUGCUGCUUUUAUUUACUUAAUGAUCAUCUGAUGGAUUACAUGAGUUUUGUUGUCACUAUGAUAAAUCCUGAUCUUAAAGUGGAGCAAAUACAGCUUCUGCUGUAUUGAGACACUCAGUGGUCUCCAGCUUGUUUAAACACUGCCGUAAAUUUUUUUGACAAAAGGAAAUAAUUAAGUGUAUAAUUAAGAUGGUUUUCAUAACUUUGUAAGACUUGGCAGACACUGUCCUAAGGCCUUUAUUUAGGCAUGUAUUUGGCCUUUUAAAGCUUCUGUGAAGAGUUUUCAGUUAGUAGUGAAACAGACUGAAAUCAAUACUGAUGCCCCUUUAUGACCUACAAAAGAGAAAAGACCAUCAUGGAUGAGAUUGAUUAUUUCUAUACAGUUAUGUUAUACAGUAUGUCUGUCACCUCUGCCCCAGAAGAGGCCUAGGAUUAACAGCAUGUUGUUGAAACUGAAAUGUUGAGCUUGGGUUGCAGAUUAGACAUUUAAAGUAAAGAAAGAUGAGAAAGUUCCUCAAAGAAAUGUUGUUUUUAUUCAGCCUUGAUGUCAUUGUACCACUUUACAUUGUUGUAUAUACUCCUCAAUGUGCAGACAUAGAAGGCCUGCCCUUAAGUGCAAGCCUCCAAAUCAUGACUUCCUUGGGGUGUUGUUUCGUGAAUACAAGCAUCAGCCUCAUAUGUUUUUGUCUUCUUUGUUUGCAAGCAGGAAAUUACCCAACCCACUGUCACCUCUGUGUCCAAACAUUGCUGUGAUACUACUUGAAGAUACACCAUCUUGCCGCCAACUUUAAUUCAA